GAUGAACGCUGGCGGCGUGCCUAAUACAUGCAAGUCGAGCGAACGGACGAGAAGCUUGCUUUUCUUAUGUUAGCGGCGGACGGGUGAGUAACACGUGGAUAACCUACCUAUAAGACUGGGAUAACUUCGGGAAACCGGAGCUAAUACCGGAUAAUAUUUUGAACCGCAUGGUUCAAAAGUGAAAGACGGUCUUGCUGUCACUUAUAGAUGGAUCCGCGCUGCAUUAGCUAGUUGGUAAGGUAACGGCUUACCAAGGCAACGAUGCAUAGCCGACCUGAGAGGGUGAUCGGCCACACUGGAACUGAGACACGGUCCAGACUCCUACGGGAGGCAGCAGUAGGGAAUCUUCCGCAAAGGGCGAAAGCCUGACGGAGCAACGCCGCGUGAGUGAUGAAGGUCUUCGGAUCGUAAAACUCUGUUAUUAGGGAAGAACAUAUGUGUAAGUAACUGUGCACAUCUUGACGGUACCUAAUCAGAAAGCCACGGCUAACUACGUG
rnacentral:rRNA from 1 species